rfam:Malonomonas rubra DSM 5091 genome assembly, contig: EJ68DRAFT_scaffold00002.2
UUCGAUAAUAGCAAACUCAGAGCAAUCUGAGGACGCAAAGCUACGGGUCCUAAUGGGAUAGCCGGGUUGCCGAAG